AUUUAACGCUGGCGGCAGGCCUAACACAUGCAAGUUGUGCGGAGCGGCGGACGGGUGAGUAAUGCCUAGGAAUCUGCCUGGUAGUGGGGGCUAACGUCCGGAAACGGGCGCUAAUAUCGCAUACUAUCAGAUGAGCCUAGGUCGGACUAGCGAGUUGGUGGGUUAAAGGCCUACCAAGGCGACGAUCCCUAACUGGUCUGAGAGGAUGGUCAGUCAGACUGGAACUGCGACACGGUCCAGACUCCUACGGGAGGCAGCAGUGGGGAAUAUUGGACAAUGGGCGAAAGCCUGAUCCAGCCAUGCCGCGUGUGUGAAGAAGGUCUUCGGAUUGUAAAGCACUUUAAGUUGGGAGGCGUUACCGACGGAAUAAGCACCGGCUAACUUCGUGCCAGCAGCCGCGGUAAUAC
rnacentral:rRNA from 1 species